rnacentral:rRNA from 1 species
GCAACGGAUAUCUCGGCUCUCGCAUCGAUGAAGAACGUAGCGAAAUGCGAUACCUGGUGUGAAUUGCAGAAUCCCGCGAACCAUCGAGUCUUUGAACGCAAGUUGCGCCCGAGGCCACUCGGCCGAGGGCACGCCUGCAGGGGCGUCA